rnacentral:pre_miRNA from 1 species
CAAUAGUUUUAUGCCAUAUUAGCAUUUUCAUCUUGAAUUUCAGCAUUUUCAUCCUGAAAAAAAUUAAAUCCAAAUUAAAAUCCUUAAAUUCAGGAUAAAAUUACUGAUGUGGCAUAAAAUUAUUA